rnacentral:rRNA from 1 species
GACGUAGGGCGCGAGCGUUGUCCGGAUUUAUUGGGCGUAAAGAGCUCGUAGGCGGCUUGUCGCGUCGACUGUGAAAACCCGUGGCUCAACCAUGUGGUCUGCAGUCGAUACGGGCAGGCUAGAAUUCGGUAGGGGAGACUGGAAUUCCUGGUGUAGCGGUGGAAUGCGCAGAUAUCAGGGGGAACACCGGUGGCGAAGGCGGGUCUCUGGGCAGUAACUGACGCUGAGGAGCGAAAGCGUGGGGAGCGAACAGG